UACAGAGGGGGCAAGCGUUGUUCGGAAUUACUGGGCGUAAAGGGCGCGUAGGCGGCCUGUUAAGUCGAACGUGAAAUCCCCGGGCUCAACCCGGGAACUGCGUCCGAUACUGGCAGGCUUGAAUUCGGGAGAGGGAUGUGGAAUUCCAGGUGUAGCGGUGAAAUGCGUAGAUAUCUGGAGGAACACCGGUGGCGAAGGCGGCAUCCUGGACCGAUAUUGACGCUGAUGCACGAAAGCGUGGGGAGCAAACAGG
rnacentral:rRNA from 1 species